CAGUAGCCGCGGUAAUACGUAGGGUGCAAGCGUUAAUCGGAAUUACUGGGCGUAAAGCGUGCGCAGGCGGUGUUGUAAGACUGAUGUGAAAUCCCCGGGCUCAACCUGGGAACUGCAUUGGUGACUGCAACGCUGGAGUGCGGCAGAGGGGGAUGGAAUUCCGCGUGUAGCAGUGAAAUGCGUAGAUAUGCGGAGGAACACCAGUGGCGAAGGCGGCUAACUGGUCCAUAACUGACGCUGAGGUGCGAAAGCGUGGGGAGCAAACAGGAUUAGAUACCCCAGUAGUCCCUGUCUCUUAUAC
rnacentral:rRNA from 1 species